UGGGAGAUGCAGUCUUCGAGGUCCUAAGGUC
rnacentral:piRNA from 1 species